rnacentral:rRNA from 1 species
CUACGGGAGGCUGCAGUGAGGAAUAUUGGUCAAUGGGCGAGAGCCUGAACCAGCCAAAUCGCGUGCAGGAUGACUGCCUUAUGGGUUGUAAACUGCUUUUAUAAAGGAAUAACAACUGCUACGUGUAGCAGGAUGAAUGUACUUUAAGAAUAAGGAUCGGCUAACUCCGUGCCAGCAGCCGCGGUAAUACGGAGGAUCCAAGCGUUAUCCGGAUUUAUUGGGUUUAAAGGGUGCGUAGGCGGUAGGUUAAGUCAGUGGUGAAAGUUUGCAGCUCAACUGUAAAAUUGCCAUUGAAACUGGCUUACUUGAGUAUGGUAGAGGUAAGCGGAAUGCGUUGUGUAGCGGUGAAAUGCUUAGAUAUAACGCAGAACCCCAAUUGCGAAGGCAGCUUGCUGGACCAUUACUGACGCUGAGGCACGAAAGCGUGGGGAUCAAACAGGAUUAGAUACCCCUGUAGUC